CAUUUUAAUUAACCAAUUUCUCUCCUUGCAUCCCUCUCGGGUAUGACAAGGGACAUUCUCCUUUGUUGAUAUCAAGCAACCCCUCUCGGGUGUAGUACUGAACUACCUAAGUCAUGCAUUUCAAUCCGAUUAGGAAUCUAAUGCAUUACCCUAAGUGCAUAAAGCUUGGAGAUGAAGAAAUUAUGCAAACCAACCAAGCUUAUCUCUAAGUGAUUGUAGCUCACAACCCUAACAUGCACAUAUGAUAUGCUAUCAUGCUUCAAACAACUAAGGUUAAUCAAGCCCUAAUUAUUUCUCAUGUCAUGGCAAACAAACAUACCCAAAUUGAUUAAGUUCAAGCAUGAAAGUUCAACUCUUGAUCUAGCAUAUUAAGGUGCUAAUGAAAAGUGCAUCAAACACAAUAUAUACAUCAAUGUCAUACAAGAUUGGCUAGGGCUUUCAACCCUAGCCCCAACAAACUAACUACUCACUCAUAAUCAAAUAUACAAGCUUCAACAUGUUAAUGAACAUCAAAGUAAAAGUAAGGGAAGAGAGGUGACUAGAGAUGCUCAAGUUGAGGAUGGAGUGGAUGAACUCAUGGAAUCCUUGUCAAGGGAUGAUGGAGAUGAUGGUGAUGUCCUCACUUGAUCCUAGACUCCCCUUCCUUCUCCUUGCUUGAUGAUGGAGGAUGUAAUGGAUGGAGAUGGCAAAUGAUGAAGCUUUGUGUAUAUGGAGUGAGAUGAGUAGAAAGGAAAAGUGAUGAAUUUGGUGAUGGUGGUGAUGGAAGUUAUUGUUUGAAUGUGGUGGAGAUGGAGGUUUUGUGGAGGAGUGGUGGUGGUUCUCUAAUGGAGAUUUGAGAGAGAAAAAUGGGGUAGAGUGUAGUGGGAGAUGGUGUUUCAAAAAUGGGGGAGAGAAACUUAAAUAAAGAUGAAAGAUGGAGCAAAAGUGGGGAGAGAAAACCAAAAAUCAGAUUUUCUCCUCCUCCCAUCCAUUUGAAUCCCCAAGCUUGAGUGUGAAAAUAGCCAUAAUUUCCCCAAAAAGCAAGCAAAAGGUGAUAGAGGAGAGAAGUGAUAGGCUAAUAGGUAAUGAUGGGAAAAAUGGUGUAGGAAAAAGUGGUGUAACACAAAAACAUGAAAGAUAUAUGUAUGGAAUUAUGAUGGACUUCUGGGUAAAAUAGGGAAGUGAUGAUUAUGGUGGGAAAGAGUGAAAUGUGUUGGAGUUGAAAUCUAACCAAAAGGUUAAGAACUAGUUGUGAUAGAACAAGACUUCUCCACCUUUCCUCUUCCAUGAAAUUGGCCGGAAAAUGUAUGGCACCACCAAAAGUGGUGGUGCGCCGCCACUUGU
rnacentral:lncRNA from 1 species